rnacentral:tRNA from 1 species
UGGUCACUGCGCUCGCCUUGCACGCGGGAGACCCGGGUUCGAUUCCCGGCGGGGUCA